UACAGAGGUCUCAAGCGUUGUUCGGAUUCAUUGGGCGUAAAGGGUGCGUAGGUGGUGCUGUAAGUCAGGUGUGAAAUCCCGGGGCUCAACCCCGGAACUGCACUUGAUACUGUAGUGCUUGAGGACUGGAGAGGAGAUCGGAAUUCAUGGUGUAGCAGUGAAAUGCGUAGAGAUCAUGAGGAAGACCAGUGGCGAAGGCGGGUCUCUGGACAGUUCCUGACACUGAGACACGAAGGCCAGGGGAGCAAACGGG
rnacentral:rRNA from 1 species